GGUGAGUUGGUCGAGUGGCCUAUGGCACUAGCUUGGAAAGUUAGCGACGGUUUAUCCCGUCCGAGAGUUCGAAUCUCUCACUCACCGCCA
rnacentral:tRNA from 2 species